rnacentral:lncRNA from 1 species
AGGCCGACAUCGUACAGAGCUUGCUCGGUGAUGCGCUCCCUCUGCUUCGGCACCGACACAUCCUUCAGUCGGUGAAAAUCCUCUCGAUCUCCAUCCUCCACCCGACUAUUCUCAUUCGGCUGAGUCCGAGGGUCCCCCAGCUGGAAGGGAACCCCCAAGGAAGCGGAGAGGAGGCAAAGAAAAAUUGAUUCUUUCACCCAUGAAUUGACGAUGGA